rnacentral:tRNA from 1 species
GCCGUUGUUGCUCAGUGGAUAGAGCGUCGGCCUGCAUACCGAAGGGUCCAGGUUCAAUUCCGGUCAAGGGCA